rnacentral:rRNA from 1 species
GAUGAACGCUAGCGGCAGGCCUAAUACAUGCAAGUCGAGGGGUAGAAGAGGCUUGCUUCUUUGAGACCGGCGCACGGGUGCGUAACGCGUAUGCAACCUACCUUCAUCUGGGGGAUAGCCCGGAGAAAUCCGGAUUAAUACCGCAUAAAAUCACAGGAUGGCAUUAUCCAAUGAUCAAACAUUUAUGGGAUGGAGAUGGGCAUGCGUGUCAUUAGCUAGUUGGCGGGGUAACGGCCCACCAAGGCGGCGAUGACUAGGGGAUCUGAGAGGAUGGCCCCCCACACUGGUACUGAGACACGGACCAGACUCCUACGGGAGGCAGCAGUAAGGAAUAUUGGUCAAUGGAGGCAACUCUGAACCAGCCAUGCCGCGUGCAGGAAGACUGCCCUAUGGGUUGUAAACUGCUUUUAUUCGGGAAUAAACCUUAUUACGUGUAAUAAGCUGAAUGUACCGAAGGAAUAAGGAUCGGCUAACUCCGUGCCAGCCGCCGCAGUAAUAC